UAUAUUCUUCAUGAGAUAAUAUUCUUGAAGCGGGACUUGCCUCUUUUAGUUAACCACUGAGCUUACAGCCGAUGAUCUACUCUGUGUGUCCGUUGAAAAAACUCUUAUCAAAGUAUUAUCAUCAUCGAAGUAAAGAACUUCCAUUGCGUGACACGCACAAGUUUAUAUAUAUUAGAUAUCUAACAAGCUAUAUCUAGUUUUCUACAGAAAAGAAGAUAUCGGCAAAAGCAUAAAAAAUAAAGAGGCAAACGCACCUUCGCAGUCGGUAGGACUCGAACCUACGCUCCCAGAGGGAAUCUGAUUUCUAGUCAGACGCCUUAACCACUCGGCCACGACUGCUAGAUGAUCGAUUCCCGCCAUUUUCGUCAUUUCAUGAUUCAAAAGCCGAUAUUUUCCAUUGUAUUUUCUAAAUAAUGUUGAGAGUCAGAAGAAGAGGAGGAAUAAAUGCAAUAAUCAAUUUUAAAGUGUUCUAUUAAAAGUCACGCACAGAACACGUUUGAUUACAUUAACGAUCGACGGAUUCAUAAAUAGAUCCACUCCACAACAUUCACGAUUAUCAUGCCGUAUAAUAGCCAUAAUAGUAAGUAUCUUAGCGGGAAUAUAAUGACAGAUUUAUAUAUAUUUAUAUAUAUAUAUAUAUAUUUAUAUAUAUACUCUUAUGCGCGUGUUCCAUAAAGGAAUAAGCGAGAAUAGCCCCGUUUUUUUCCAAUUAUAUAGAGAGCACGACGAAGGAGGCUACCUCUCUUUACGCAAUUAAUCUAUAACAAUAUAUCCACGACGAUGUGAAAUUGUACAUUUGGAUAUAUAUUUAUAGUAUAUAUUACACACACACACACACACACG